rnacentral:rRNA from 1 species
AAUACGACUCUCGGCAACGGAUAUCUCGGCUCUCGCAUCGAUGAAGAACGUAGCGAAAUGCGAUACUUGGUGUGAAUUGCAGAAUCCCGUGAACCAUCGAGUCUUUGAACGCAAGUUGCGCCCAACGCCCCCUUCGGGUGGUUGAGGGCACAUCUGCUUGGGCGUUAA